rnacentral:rRNA from 1 species
ACUGGCAGGCUAGAGUCUUGUAGAGGGGGGUAGAAUUCCAGGUGUAGCGGUGAAAUGCGUAGAGAUCUGGAGGAAUACCGGUGGCGAAGGCGGCCCCCUGGACAAAGACUGACGCUCAGGUGCGAAAGCGUGGGGAGCAAACAGGAUUAGAUACCCUGGUAGUCCACGCCGUAAACGAUGUCGAUUUGGAGGUUGUGCCCUUGAGGCGUGGCUUCCGGAGCUAACGCGUUAAAUCGACCGCCUGGGGAGUACGGCCGCAAGGUUAAAACUCAAAUGAAUUGACGGGGGCCCGCACAAGCGGUGGAGCAUGUGGUUUAAUUCGAUGCAACGCGAAGAACCUUACCUGGUCUUGACAUCCACAGAACUUAGCAGAGAUGCUUUGGUGCCUUCGGGAACUGUGAGACAGGUGCUGCAUGGCUGUCGUCAGCUCGUGUUGUGAAAUGUUGGGUUAAGUCCCGCAACGAGCGCAACCCUUAUCCUUUGUUGCCAGCGGUCCGGCCGGGAACUCAAAGGAGACUGCCAGUGAUAAACUGGAGGAAGGUGGGGAUGACGUCAAGUCAUCAUGGCCCUUACGACCAGGGCUACACACGUGCUACAAUGGCAUAUACAAAGAGAAGCGACCUCGCGAGAGCAAGCGGACCUCAUAAAGUAUGUCGUAGUCCGGAUUGGAGUCUGCAACUCGACUCCAUGAAGUCGGAAUCGCUAGUAAUCGUAGAUCAGAAUGCUACGGUGAAUACGUUCCCGGGCCUUGUACACACCGCCCGUCACACCAUGGGAGUGGGUUGCAAAAGAAGUAGGUAGCUUAACCUUCGGGAGGGCGCUUACCACUUUGUGAUUCAUGACUGGGGUGAAGUCGUAACAAGGUAACCGUAGGGGAACCUGCGGUUGGAUCACCUCCUUA